GGGAGGCAGCUUCGGCUUGGAUAUGCUAUUAGGCCUUUGUAAGUUUUACUGAUGCAAAUUCUUUUUGAAAGAUCCCUAAAGUCAUUUACCCUUUUGCCACUGAGAAUUGUUUACUAUUGUGAAUUGUACCAGUGGUCUAAAUUGUCAAUUAAUGACAUAGACCUAGAUACCAUAAAACACCGUUGAUAAAUCGACUGAAAUAUGAACAUUCUUGGCCCAAAGUUACAGCAUUGCACCAAUUAAUUGUUAACCUCUUGGUUUUAAUGAUAAUUGUUCUACUAGGCGUUUUUCUUCUGCUAGCAUUCCAUCAAUAAUGUCAGUUGUAAUUAUAUAUAUAUAAAUAAAACUUAGACAAUCAGUGUGAUUAUUCUGCACAAUGUGUCCAAAUCACUCUAUUUUUCCAUGACAUUAACAAUUGUCCUUUGACUGUCUAUGUGAACGUUCUCUAGAAUUUCAUUCCAAGUUAAGUCUGGUCUUCUUUGCGUAAUUUAUAUAGCAGGGUCUACAAGAAUUGGAUGCAGAUCCACUAUCCCACCCUCCCCUCUGUAUUUACUGCAAUGCAUAUUUACCUGGAGGUAGCAUCUCAGCGGUAUGUCAAGUGCCAAGUCAGUUUUCACUAAAUACAAAUUUUAAUAUAUACUGGUUGUAUAUUUAUGGAUUAUAGUUGAAAUUCUCAAAUGAAUAAAUAUUUUUGUAGUCCUAUAUACAGCUACCUAAAACAGAAGUUGGCACAUCUUCAUUAGAAGGUAUGCUCACUAGCUUGAUUUCUCCUAGAGAUGUAGAAUGUUUAUUCCCGCAAUGUUAUUUUGCAAUUUCCUUUUUUGAUGUAGCUGCUUAUCUAUCAAGUUUAUUUAGCAGAGUGUCUAUGAAAGUGUGCAGUUCAAAUAAUCGGGUUAUGUUAUACUAAGUAUCCUAUAAAUGAUCUGAAUGAACACAAGCGAUGGCGUCCGUCGGCCACGGUGCCCAAGGCGUAGACUGGACCCUUCUAAGGAGGCAUGUGGGGAUGCAUGCAAGACAUGCCCUCAUUCUAUGAAACAAAGUCAAAAGCAAAUGGGAGUAUGAGAGAUGGUGUAUGGACCAAGUGAUGGAGCAUCUCACGGACGGCGGCCCUCACUUCAAGCUCGAUGAGCUUAACUUAAACAUGCUCUUGCACUGGCAUGGUCGUGAUAGGUUUGUCAUCUGGGCGAUUGCCCGUGUUCGAAAGGUUGGUGUGAUUUUUCACUAUAGGAAUUGAUAGCUUGACAGGUUAUUUGGCUUAGCCUAUGUUGUGUUGUUGCUUGUUUGUCUGAUCCCUAUCAUGCUGAUGUUUCAUACCAUGAUAGCUGUUUAUGGUUGUAAUAUUACACCAUUGACAGGUUAAGAAAAGGUGUUUGCUGAUUGAGAAAGUUGAGAGACAACUUACGGACACUAUAACAGUUAGGAAUUUAUUGUUGGGCCAAAAUUAUGUCGUUGUUUAUAUACAUGCAUCAAUUCUUCAUGUAGCUCACUACUUAUUCUGUUAUGAGAAUAACAACUGUAGAUAGAGUCAUUCAUCUUGCUUCUUUUCUAGAUGAAUAACUUCAUUAUGGGUUGUGUCAUCCGAGGCAAGUUGAUACUACCUACUGUAUGCAAAUUCCAGAUGCAUUAGGAGGGGAGUGACGAAGCCGGAGGGGCCGAGGUGCCCUCAUCAUCAUGGGUGCUUGACGGUGCAUCAUAGACCAGGCGGAGGAUCUCCUGGUGGAGCUUGGCAGAACCGAGGCACUUGGAGGAGAAGACGCCAUGGAGCCCUCGCCCGCUGCUGGUAGGCUUUGGCGAGGACGAGCGCCGGGAAAGGUCCCAGAUGUUGCGCCAAGGCCUUCCGCGC
rnacentral:lncRNA from 1 species